AGAGAAUGGAGGCUGCCAGGGGCCUGGCCUGGGCUCUGCACAAAGGUGGUGAGUCCCCAGAGCCAGGUACUUGGAUGACUCUGCCAGACUGAGGGAAUCGGCAGGAGUUGGAAGGCCAGUUAGGCCCUUGGGAUUGAGGACGCCUUCUCCCCUGGGGAUGAGAGAGAAAGAAGGGAUUCACUGGUUCCGUCAGACCUCAGAGAAGAACUACAACUACAAGUUCAACGUCCCAAGCCAAAGUCUAUACUGAGGACAGAAGUGUCUCCUACAGGCCUGGACCCUGAGCAGGCCUGGUACUGAGCAAUGCUUUUCUUUGUGCUUCCCACAAAGAAAAGGGGAAGCACAAAGGAAUGGGGGCCUCCAUUCCUCCCAAGGCCCCAAAGGCUGGGGCUCUGCACAGAGGGUAGGGGGUUCCCUCUGGGGCUAUAAGACCAAGCUGUGGCCCCUCCUGCAAGGGGUUACUGUAAGUAGAGCCUCAGAGUAACAGCCAUUUCAUUCUGCUUCUGUGAUUAUGACAGCAUGAGACCAUGUAAGCGAAGGUGUUUGUAAACUAUUAAAUGCUUACUCAAUAUAAA